rnacentral:rRNA from 2 species
UGGUGUGAGCAUAACAGCACCAAUCCACCGAAUCCCGUCAGAUUUGCGUCGUUAAACGUGCUUCGGCAAGAGUAGUAUUAGGAUGGGUGACCUCUUGGGAAGUCCUCGUGUUGCACCUC